GCUGGGUGUGGUAGCGUGUGCCUGUAAUCCCAGCAGCUGGGAAGGCUGAGGAAGGAGGAUCACAAGUUCAAAGCCAGCUUCAGCAACCUGGAGAGGGGUGGGAGGAAGAGACAUCUUUACUUUU
rnacentral:sRNA from 1 species